GACCCACAAGCUUGAAGCCUGGUCCGCUGGUCGCUUCGCUUGGUAUAAUAGUGGUGGCCGCCGUCCGUUGGAUGUCACUGCUACGUCUCCGCUCUACGUCUCUCUCACAAGUCACACAGCCUUUGCUUUCCCUGCGCGUACGCUUCUCUGCCCACAACUGUUCCGGACUAGCAGCCUUGAUAUCUCGGCCGGGACCGGGAGGAGGGCGGUGGCUAGAAAUGGAUCCUCCGCCACCACUGGCGCUAUUCGCCUCCAGCUCGUCCUCGUCCUCGCCCUCGCCGCCGACGUCGUCGUCGUCCGGCGCGAGCAUCACCAUGGUGAUCAUCACAGUCGUGGGCAUCCUCGCGGCGUUCGCGCUCCUCGCCAGCUACUACGCGUUCGUGACCAAGUGCCAGCUCCUGCGCGCGGUGUGGUCGCGCCAGCCGCCGUGGCACCGGCGCGUGCGGGGGGCCGGCGGCGGCGGCUUAACAGGCAGGCGGGACGAGCCGUCGUCCGUCGUCCGCGGCGACGGGCGGCGGGGCCUGGGCCUGCCGCUCAUCCGCAUGCUCCCCGUCGUCAAGUUCACUGCCGCCUCCUGCGACGCCGGCGCCGGCGCUGGUGGCGUGGCGCCGAGGAUAUCCGUGUCGGAGUGCGCCGUGUGCCUGAGCGAGUUCGUGGAGCGCGAGCGCGUCCGGCUGUUGCCCAACUGCUCCCACGCCUUCCACAUCGACUGCAUCGACACGUGGCUGCAGGGCAGCGCGCGGUGCCCCUUCUGCCGGAGCGACGUCACGCUGCCGGCGAUCCCGUCGGCGCGGCGCGCCCCGGCGGCGGCGGCGGCGGUCCUUCCCACCAGCAGGCGCCGGGACGACGCGCUCGCCAGCGAAAGCAUUGUGAUCGAGGUGCGAGGGGAGCGCGAGAGGUGGUUCAGCAGCAGCCACGGGACGACGACGACGACGCCCCGGCGCCAGCCGCCGAAGCAGCCGGCGCCGCGGUGCAGCAAGGCGGCGGAGAGCGUCGGCGACGAGGCCAUCGACACGAGGAAGACGGACGCGGAGUUCGCGGUGCAGCCCUUGCGGCGGUCCGUCUCCCUGGACUCCUCCUGCGGCAAGCACCUCUACGUGUCCAUCCAGGAGCUCCUCGCCACGCAAAGGUGGGACGACGGCGACGUCGGUCGACCGUGAGCCCGGCCGGCCGGCCGACCGCCAGCUGCGCAUCAUUCCAGGACGGACGCCCACUACCACUACGUACAAGACGAAGCAGCGAUUUGUUUUGCGCGCCAGAUCAGGCAGCCAUCAACGACGCUGGUGUUGGGUGACCCAACCCCCAGUCCCAGUGCACGCGGAUUGGACAUUUCCGGGGCGAAAAAGGUCGCUCGCUGCAUGCGCGCCGAGAGCUUACGACGGGCGCGCUGGGGCCUCUCAGCCUAGAUCGGGGCCACAGAGCCGUAGGCCAGCGCGGCGAGCAUGCAGGUGUCGCGCGGCAGCCCCCUCCCCCUGGGCGUGUGCGCGCGAGUGGCCACGCACCGCCGACUGCUGGGGGCGAGGGCCGGCGCGCGCGCGCCACCGGCCACGCACGUACCGGCCAUGUGCGCGCUUCGCUUUGCGGGUACGUAAGCCGAAGUGGACGUGCCCUGGAUGCACCACCAGCUCGAUCCAUCCAUCCGCCCGCCGCCGCCUCCGGACCGUACGUGUCUUGCGACGCUUUUCUGCGUGUCCGCGUGCGCCAAGGCAUGGCAGCUCGGCUGCCGGGACCGUACCGGAGCCGGCCUAUGUCUGGUCCCUGCUGCGUGCCUUAAGCUUGCCGCCGGCCCUGUGUGAAUUUGGUGCGUGGUGAGCUCACCUCGUGUGAUGCGUGCGUGCGUACGUACAGUACGUGCUGCCGUUGCUACGAUCUGGCUCGUUUUCUUUGAGCAGGCGAGCAGAAAAGGUUCUCCCCUUUUCUUUUAUUUACACACUCACGCAACGCAAGCGACGACGAUACGAGACAGGCAGGACGCACGGCACGGGGGGUGCUUUCGCUUCGUGGGUAGAUAGAUUUGGUUAGCUGGUCCAACCAAUCAUCAAGGGCUGGGCCGGGACGUGGAAGGUGGGGUGUCAACGUUGGUGCGUGCUUUCUUUCGGGUGCGGCGGCAUCGAUGGGUCACCGGCGAUGUUGCGAGGGGACCGGACCUGCAGGCCACCAGGGUCCAGGAGGAAACUAGCGAACCAACCCCAACCGGAAUAAUUGCGCGAAUCGGCAGCAGCGCUAGCUAGCUCUGCACGUUUGGGUGCUUCCGAUCCGCUUCUUCUUCUUCUACGUCGCCCGUCUCCACUCGAGUCGGGACCCCUACCUAAUCCGCCGAGCCUUGCGUCGCAUCGCGUCCAGCAGCAUGGCUGGCGACGGCUCGCAUAUGCUUAUGCUGGGCCUGCUGCUGCGCCUAGGGCCGGCCGUAGGCGGCAGGAACGACGCGAUGGCUCUGUGGCAUGGACUUCCUUGGUUUGGGAACACUGCACUUUUCGAGCAACAACCGGACAGCACCUCUUUCGUGAAGGGAAAACCCCGCGUGGGUCGUGUGGUGGUAGUGGUAGGGGCCUGCCCCCGGGGGGGACUCUCUGAAACACAGAAAUUUCACAGCGAACAUGUAAAAAAUUCCAGAGAAACCAGUUCAAUUUUAUAGAAAAGAACACACAGAAAAUAGGC
rnacentral:misc_RNA from 1 species